GUUGUUCAAUCAUCAGUAGAUUGAACGUUGCCUGGACACUAUUGUGUUUUCGAGGCUUUGCCUGUGCCUAGAAAUGGAAUUUUUCAUUUGACUAUUCCAUUUUUUUGAGGCUGUAGGCGUCCUGGCACAUAGCAAUAUGUGUUUCGAGGAGAAAUUUAAUGGUGCCUGCACAUUUGUGUUCGAGGCUUAAAAAUGUAACAUGAAAUUAUAACCUAGUUUACGUAACUAAACAAUUAAAAAGAAUGAGAAGUAAUUCGAAAUGCAAGUCUUCUAUGUGAGUAUUCCUCUACAACAUAGUAGAACAUAGAACCACAAUAGCACAAUAUUCAUUUUGAACUAUUUUUUUAUACAAAAAAUACUCAACAAAACAGCCCAAUUGGACGACAUAAGAAAACUAUUUUGUGGUCCUAACAUUGAUAGCACUUUCAAUCAGAUCGAGCGUUGUAGUGACAUUAUGAAUAUUGCCGGGAUGAUCUGCAUGCGGAAGUCCUUGAACAACGUUCAUGAUGCGUAACAUUUUAUCUUUAACAUUUUUGUACCUUAUAGUUCAACGAGUUCACAUUGUUUAUAUAGUUUCUUGACUUGUAAAAAGCCAAUGGUUAAACUUCGAAUAACUUGAAAAAAAAAUUUA